rnacentral:lncRNA from 1 species
GUGAUCACCCAAUUUGAGCCACCAUAGGCGUGCACCUGUUUGUGUUUGAGCUGAGCACCCCGGCUUCUUCUGCUCAUUGUAGAUCCAUCCUCGCCCUCCGGUGUACGAGCUAUGUAUCUACCACCUUGUAACUCUUGUUCUCCUACCUAUCAAUGAAAUGAUACACAACUUGUGUAUUCACGAGAAAAAAGGACAGAGGCCACCCAAGUGAGAACAAUGACCAACACGAGGAAAUCCAUUUAAGCAGUGCCAAAGGCGGAAAAUAGUAGAGAUGGAAAAACAAUUUUGCAAGCAUCAAAGCAGUCCAUGGCCUCUGCCACACCGAUCAAGAAGCAAGAAAAACACUACAUUGAACUAUAGUUUUUGUUAGACCUCAUGUCCAGAACAGUGUGACCGUUUAUUGCAGUUCAAAAUUCUCAUUGAUCAUAGAGUGAAAUGAGCAUCUAUGAAUAAAGAGCGUGCAGUAAGAAAUGUGUGCACUGUACUGCCAAAUUUCUUGACUGACUCUACCAACCUCACAUACUUUCUCCUGCUAGCGAUGUCCGUGUUCCUACAAAGGGAAGCAAAACAUUCAACUAUUACCACUCCACUUCCAGUAUAUAUAUGGUACCAACAGCUUGGCAUAGAAUCUAAUGUUUUCCUGUGAGUUCAUGUAUCGGCCAUUGGGAGAAUAUUACAGGGUGGAGGCAGAAGGAGAAUAAUUAAAUAGCAAGACCGUACAUGAAAAUAAGCUGCAACAUGCAACUCAUGAAGUAAAAAAGAGAUCUUAC